rnacentral:lncRNA from 1 species
GUUUGGCCUGUUUAGAUAAAUGGGUUACAUGUUAUGUUCUUGAUGUCAUUGACACAAAUAACUUUAUGGUUGGUGUUUGGGUUCAUUAUUCUCGAAAUCUGUCAAAUCAUCUAUCUUGAUUGAGACUGUAAUCUCUCUCAUAACAAGAUGCUGCGACCACAUGAAUUGUUUCAUAUUUAAUUAAUGAUCAAGGAUGGAUUUGCAGAGGGUAAGGACCUGGUGGUGAGUGUGAUGUCAGCGAUGGGGGAGGAGCAGAUUUGUGCUCUUAAGGACAUUGGCCCCAAGUAAACUCGUACACCAUCAUUGGCAGCAGCAGGAAACGCUUUUGCUGUUGUAUUUCUGUUUGGGCAUCUUAAGGUUUUUAUUUCCAUGUAAUGUACUUCGAAUUUCUUUUAUUGCAGCAGCUAUGAUAUUGGUUUAGGGCUGCAAUUAUGA